CACUACGAGUGAAAACUUAAACUUAAAGACUGACGGUACUUCACACCCAACCUAGAGGAGCCUGUCUACUAACCGAUAACCCACGAUUAAUCCAACCACUCCUGGCCACCCAGCCUAUAUACCGCCGUCGCCAGCCCACCUUGUGAAAGAAACCAAGUGAGCAAAAUAGUACUACACUAACACGACAGGUCGAGGUGUAGCUUACGAAGUGGAACAAGAUGGGCUACAUUAUCUAACCCAGAUAACACGGACAAAGCCAUGUAAUCUGACUUUAAAAGGAGGAUUUAGCAGUAAGAUGAGAACAGAAUACUCAACUGAAAAUAUUGCAAUGAAGUGCGUACACACCGCCCGUCA
rnacentral:rRNA from 1 species